GAUGAACGCUAGCUACAGGCUUAACACAUGCAAGUCGAGGGGCAGCAUGGUCUUAGCUUGCUAAGGCCGAUGGCGACCGGCGCACGGGUGAGUAACACGUAUCCAACCUGCCGUCUACUCUUGGACAGCCUUCUGAAAGGAAGAUUAAUACAAGAUGGCAUCAUGAGUCCGCAUGUUCACAUGAUUAAAGGUAUUCCGGUAGACGAUGGGGAUGCGUUCCAUUAGAUAGUAGGCGGGGUAACGGCCCACCUAGUCUUCGAUGGAUAGGGGUUCUGAGAGGAAGGUCCCCCACAUUGGAACUGAGACACGGUCCAAACUCCUACGGGAGGCAGCAGUGAGGAGUAUUGGUCAAUGGGCGAGAGCCUGAACCAGCCAAGUAGCGUGAAGGAUGACUGCCCUAUGGGUUGUAAACUUCUUUUAUAAAGGAAUAAAGUCGGGUAUGGAUACCCGUUUGCAUGUACUUUAUGAAUAAGGAUCGGCUAACUCCGUG
rnacentral:rRNA from 1 species